rnacentral:lncRNA from 1 species
CUUUCACAGAUACAUGGUAGCUCCAGGUCUAAGAAGCCCCGAUGAGCUGCAAAGAUCAGAGAAACCCCGCAGUUCUUCCACCAGUUUGUUCUUGGAGACACACAUGGUUAUCCACCUACAGGACAAUUUGAUGAGUUUCUGCCAUAUUAAUUACUCCACGCCGCUGUUCUACAGUGAUCCUUCAACAAUCCAAACCCAGUGAACGCAUGUGUGAACCUUUCUGCUCUUGAAGGGACGAUCGGAAAUGGAGAUUCACAAGCACCCAGCAAAAGUUUCCAUUUCUGCACUUACUUUCUUCCCCUGACACGGUGCACAAAAAUUUCUGCACAGACCUUGUUUGUUUAAUACCAUGUUGCUUCUUGCAAUUAAAAAAGAAAGAAAAAUCUUUCUAAAAUAUCUUUGUAACUCAAGAGUCUUUCCUUGGAUACCCUCCCCUUCCUUCAAUUAGUAUGCAUUGUAUAAUAAUCAAUAUGUGUGUUACCAGGCAAUAUUACCUUUGAUGCUUGAGUCUUCUUAAUUUUGUCUUGAGUCAUUAAAGAGAUCUAAUGGGCAAUGGUUCAUUUAGUUUCCCAAAUAUCCUUCCUCUGGUGUUGAGCUCCGUCUUCUUAAUGAACUAGACAACAGUCAUUAUUACUGACAGAUCUCUCUCCCUCCCAGUUCGUCAGACUAUAUAGCUUGAGCGCUCCUGCCCUUGUUUUUCAGCCAGAAGUCACCUCUGUGUGUCAUUUUCAUCUUUCACAGAGUCCUUGGUAACCUUUGAAGCCAUUUGGGAACAAGGCAUGCAUAUUCCAAGAGCCAGAUUUCAGAGUCAAAUUACAGCUCCACCCAUUCUCUGUACCCUGGGAGGCCAUUAACCAGAAAGGCUUGUGUAGCAAAGUCAGAUGCUAGAAUCUGAGCUUCUCUGCUCUUUGUUUCACCUUCAACUCUGGUCUGUUGAUUCAGUCUUUGUAGCCCUGUGUGCUUUAAUGGCAGACUGUGACCAGGUGGGAGCUGGGUAAUACAGAUGCCCCAUUUGUAUCUGGGUAUCUCCGUUUGCUUAUAUGUGUGUGUUGAUUAUGUGUUCUAGGCCAGAUAUUAUGGAAAGUAAUUUAUACCUAAUCCACAAAGCAAUUCUUCAAAGGAGACAUUAGGAUGGAUUCACUGCAGGUAAGACAAGAGGUGGUGGUGGGCUGGCGAGAUGGCUCAGUGGGUAAGAGCAAUGACUGCUCUUCCAAAGGUCCUGAGUUUCAAAUCCCAGCAACCACAUGGUGGCUCACAACUUCCCGUAAUGAGAACUGACGCCCUCUUCUGGUUCUGUUUCGCCUGAAAUCAGCUAUAGUGUACUUAUGUAUAAUAAUAAAAAAUCUUUUUACUUAAAUCUUUAAGGAAAA